rnacentral:rRNA from 1 species
UUUGCGGCGGGCCUAACACAUGCAAGUCGAACGGUAGCGCGGGGCAACCUGGCGACGAGUGGCGAACGGGUGAGUAAAGCAUCGGAACGUGCCUGGAAUGGGGGAUAACGUAGCGAAAGUUACGCUAAUACCGCAUAUUCUGUGAGCAGGAAAGCAGGGGGAUCGCAAGACCUUGCGUUCUGGGAGCGGCCGAUGUCGGAUUAGCUAGUUGGUGGGGUAAAAGCCUACCAAGGCGACGAUCCGUAGCGGGUCUGAGAGGAUGAUCCGCCACACUGGGACUGAGACACGGCCCAGACUCCUACGGGAGGCAGCAGUGGGGAAUUUUGGACAAUGGGCGGAAGCCUGAUCCAGCCAUGCCGCGUGAGUGAAGAAGGCCUUCGGGUUGUAAAGCUCUUUCGGUGGGGAAGAAAUUGCACGGGUUAAUACCCUGUGUAGAUGACGGUACCCGACUAAGAAGCACCGGCUAACUACGUG